UACGUAGGGUGCGAGCGUUAAUCGGAAUUACUGGGCGUAAAGCGUGCGCAGGCGGUUUUGUAAGUCUGUCGUGAAAGCCCCGGGCUCAACCUGGGAAUGGCGAUGGAGACUGCAAGGCUUGAAUCUGGCAGAGGGGGGUAGAAUUCCACGUGUAGCAGGUGAAAUGCGUAGAGAUGUGGAGGAACACCGAUGGCGAAGGCAGCCCCCUGGGUCAAGAUUGACGCUCAUGCACGAAAGCGUGGGGAGCAAACAGG
rnacentral:rRNA from 1 species